rnacentral:rRNA from 1 species
GUUUGAUCAUGGCUCAGAUUGAACGCUGGCGGAAUGCUUUACACAUGCAAGUCGAACGGCAGCACGGACUUCGGUCUGGUGGCGAGUGGCGAACGGGUGAGUAAUAUAUCGGAACGUAUCCAAUAAUGGGGGAUAACUAAUCGAAAGGUUGGCUAAUACCGCAUACGCCCUACGGGGGAAAGCUAGGGACCUUCGGGCCUGGCGUUAAUGGAGCGGCCGAUAUCUGAUUAGCUAGUUGGUGAGGUAAGAGCUCACCAAGGCGACGAUCAGUAGCUGGUCUGAGAGGACGACCAGCCACACUGGAACUGAGACACGGUCCAGACUCCUACGGGAGGCAGCAGUGGGGAAUUUUGGACAAUGGGCGCAAGCCUGAUCCAGCCAUUCCGCGUGAGUGAAGAAGGCCUUCGGGUUGUAAAGCUCUUUUCGCAAGGGAAGAAAACUUAGUUACUAAUAUUAACUGAGGUUGACGGUACCUUGAUAAGAAGCACCGGCUAACUACGUGCCAGCAGCCGCGGUAAUACGUAGGGUGCGAGCGUUAAUCGGAAUUACUGGGCGUAAAGCGUGCGCAGGCUGUUUUGUAAGUCAGAUGUGAAAUCCCCGAGCUCAACUUGGGAACUGCGUUUGAAACUACAAGACUAGAAUAUGUCAGAGGGGGGUAGAAUUCCACGUGUAGCAGUGAAAUGCGUAGAGAUGUGGAGGAAUAUCAAUGGCGAAGGCAGCCCCCUGGGAUAAUAUUGACGCUCAUGCACGAAAGCGUGGGGAGCAAACAGGAUUAGAUACCCUGGUAGUCCACGCCCUAAACGAUGUCUACUAGUUGUUGGUGGAGUAAAAUCCAUGAGUAACGCAGCUAACGCGUGAAGUAGACCGCCUGGGGAGUACGGUCGCAUAUUAAAACUCAAACGAAUUGACGGGGGCCCGCACAAGCGGUGGAUUAUGUGGAUUAAUUCGAUGCAACGCGAAAAACCUUACCUGGCCUUGACAUGUACCGAAUUUACCAGAGAUGGUUUAGUGCUCGAAAGAGAACGGUAACACAGGUGCUGCAUGGCUGUCGUCAGCUCGUGUCGUGAGAUGUUGGGUUAAGUCCCGCAACGAGCGCAACCCUUGCCAAUAAUUGCCAUCAUUUAGUUGGGCACUUUAUUGGGACUGCCGAUGACAAAUCGGAGGAAGGUGGGGAUGACGUCAAGUCCUCAUGGCCCUUAUGGCCAGGGCUUCACACGUAAUACAAUGGUCGGUACAGAGGGUUGCCAAGCCGCAAGGUGGAGCCAAUCCCAGAAAGCCGAUCGUAGUCCGGAUUGAGGUCUGCAACUCGACCUCAUGAAGUCGGAAUCGCUAGUAAUCGCGGAUCAGCAUGUCGCGGUGAAUACGUUCCCGGGCCUUGUACACACCGCCCGUCACACCAUGGGAGUGGGUUUUACCAGAAGUAGGUAGUCUAACCGCAAGGAGGACGCUUACCACGGUAGUAUUCAUGACUGGGGUGAAGUCGGAACAAGGUA